GAUACCCAUGCUUGAUCUGUCCUAGGGAAUGCAGUUCUACAAGACUCCCUUCUACAUCCUCACAACACAGGCUGCUCAGCCUUGCCGAGAAAAGAAAGCCAGUAGGUAGAAGCUGGAGUGGCACCAUCCUUGGCAAAGUAGGAGAGCCAGAGUGAGAUGGGCAAUCUCACAGUGAUGAAAACUGCAGAUUAAAAAGUAGCAGUCAAAAGUAGUCUUUCCACGUGCAUGUGUGUAAAGGAGUUUCUUGGCAUAAAUCCAAGCUACAGCACCAUGCUUCGCUAGCAAGAGACAGGAGCCACCGCAAGAAAAGACCUCACAUGACAAAGCUGAGCCCUUCUGUGCUCCCCAGAUGCUCUGCUAGAGAUGAGCAUUUAUGAAAUGAACUCAGGGAGAAGAAGAAAGAAACAUUAAUAUGUUGGUUUUUGGGAAUCGAUAUUCAAGGAGGUUUUUGUUCCUGGACAAACCCACAGAAUUACUGUAAGAUUUAGGCAUUUUGCUGAAUAUUUCAACUACUCAGUGACACAGCCAGGAACUGUGGAAUUCUCUAUCCAAUCAUCCCAAACUACUUUUGCUGCAGAAUAUGGAGUAGUAGAAGAAGAAGAAGAAGGUUUGGAGAACAACAACAAUCCUCCAUUUUGAUGGUUUUUGCUUUUAUCUAUUUACUAGAUUACCAAACCCAAAACCUCUAAAUUUUUCACCCUGUGACAAUCUUACAUAGUAGUCUAUCACCUAAUUCACAUCAAUGUAGUUUCUAGUUCUUCUCUAAGAGCAGGCAGUUUUUUCCAAGGAAGGAGGUCAAAACCAGUGAUGUUCAGGGGGGUAAAAUUCUUCAAAACAGGCAGAGAAAUAUUCUCUGCACUCUGGGUUCCUACAAAAAGUGAAAGAGAAUAGGAUCAGACAUUGCUUUCAAGAAGCAGUAUGUAAUGACUCAAUUGUGCUCCCACUGAAGGAAUAAAAAGACUUCCACUUGAUCUUAAUGAAAAUAGGCAAAGGUCUUCAGUUGCCUAGAGAUGCUGCAAACUGAAAAGAUGUGUAUCCUUGAACACUAUGUUGGAGACAAAGAGAAC
rnacentral:lncRNA from 13 species